rnacentral:rRNA from 1 species
AUUGAACGCUGGCGGCAGGCCUAACACAUGCAAGUCGAGCGAGCGGCGGACGGGUGAGUAAUGUAUGGGGACUGCCCGAUAGAGGGGGAUACCUACUGGAAACGGUGGCUAAUACCGCAUACUAUCGGAUAACCCAUAUGGGAUUAGCUAGUAGGAGGGGUAAAGGCGCACCUAGGCGACGAUCUCUAGCUGGUCUGAGAGGAUGAUCAGCAACACUGUGACUGAGACACGGCCAAGACUCCUACGGAGGCAGCAGUGGGAAAUAUUGCCCAAUGGGGGCAAGCCGGAUGCAGCCAGGCCGCGGGUAUGAAGAAGGCCGUAGGGUUGUAAAGUACUUUCAGCGGGGAGGCGUUACCCGCAGAAGAAGCACCGGCUAACUCCGUGCCAGCAGCCGCGGUAAUAC